AGCAUAUCAAUAAGCGGAGGAAAAGAAACCAACAGGGAUUGCCCCAGUAACGGCGAGUGAAGCGGCAACAGCUCAAAUUUGAAAUCUGGCCCCCGGGUCCGAGUUGUAAUUUGCAGAGGAUGCUUUGGGCGAGGUUCCUUCCGAGUUCCCUGGAACGGGACGCCACAGAGGGUGAGAGCCCCGUCUGGUCGGACACCGAGCCCGUGUAAAGCUCCUUCGACGAGUCGAGUAGUUUGGGAAUGCUGCUCAAAAUGGGAGGUAUAUGUCUUCUAAAGCUAAAUAUUGGCCAGAGACCGAUAGCGCACAAGUAGAGUGAUCGAAAGAUGAAAAGCACUUUGAAAAGAGGGUUAAAAAGUACGUGAAAUUGUUGAAAGGGAAGCGCCUAUGACCAGACUUGCGCCCGGUGAAUCAUCCAGCGUUCUCGCUGGUGCACUUCGCCGGGCACAGGCCAGCAUCAGUUUGGCGCGGGGGACAAAGGCUUCGGGAACGUGGCUCCCUCGGGAGUGUUAUAGCCCGCUGCGUAAUACCCUGCGCCGGACUGAGGUACGCGCAUCGCAAGGAUGCUGGCGUAAUGGUCAUCAGCGACCCGUCUUGAAACACGGACCAAGGAGUCGUCUUCGUAUGCGAGUGUUCGGGUGUUAAACCCCUACGCGGAAUGAAAGUGAACGUAGGUGAGAGCUUCGGCGCAUCAUCGACCGAUCCUGAUGUUCUCGGAUGGAUUUGAGUAAGAGCAUACGGGGCCGGACCCGAAAGAAGGUGAACUAUGCCUGUAUAGGGUGAAGCCAGAGGAAACUCUGGUGGAGGCUCGCAGCGGUUCUGACGUGCGAAUCGAUCGUCAAAUAUGGGCAUGGGGGCGAAAGACUAAUCGAACCUUCUAGUAGCUGGUUUCCGC
rnacentral:rRNA from 1 species